rnacentral:rRNA from 1 species
UUGACCUCGGAUCAGGUAGGAAUACGCGCUGAACUUAAGCAUAUCAAUAAGCGCAGGAAAAGAAACCAACAGGGAUUGCCUCAGUAACGGCGAGUGAAGCGGCAACAGCUCAAAUUUGAAAUCUGGCCUCUCGGGGUCCGAGUUGUAAUUUGUAGAGGAUGUUUUGGGUACCGCCCCGGUCUAAAUUUCUUGGAACAGAAUGUCAAAGAGGGUGAGAAUCCCGUCUUGGACCGGCGGUAGGGCCUGUGUAAAACUCCUUCGACGAGUCGAGUUGUUUGGGAAUGCAGCUCAAAAUGGGUGGUAAAUUUCAUCUAAAGCUAAAUAUUGGCCAGAGACCGAUAGCGCACAAGUAGAGUGAUCGAAAGAUGAAAAGCACUUUGAAAAGAGAGUUAAACAGUAUGUGAAAUUGUUGAAAGGGAAGCGCUUGCAACCAGACUUGAGCGCGGCGGUUCCCCUGGCCUUUUGGCCAGGUUACUCCGUCGUGUCCAGGCCAACAUCGGUUUCGAGGGUCGGUCAAAGGCUCCGGGAAUGUAUCUACCCACGGGUAGACUUAUAGACCGGGGUGUCAUGCGACCUCUCGG